GAGACGCCGGAAGCGGCCGUUGCCAUGGAUCCUGCAGACGACUGGCUGGUGGACUCCUUGCGCUUGUACCAGGAUUUCUAUGCAUUCGACCUCUCAGGAGCGACUCGAGUCCUUGAAUGGAUUGAUGACAAAGGAGUCUUUGUUGCUGGCUAUGAAAGCCUGAAAAAGAAUGAAAUUCUUCAUCUGAAAUUACCUCUCAGACUUUCUGUAAACGAAAACAAGGGCUUAUUCCCAGAAAGAGAUUUCAAAGUGCGCCAUGGAGGAUUUUCAGACAGGUCUAUCUUUGAUCUAAAGCACGUGCCACAUACCAGAUUGUUGGUUACCAGUGGCCUUCCAGGUUGUUACCUGCAGGUGUGGCAGGUUGCAGAGGACAGUGGUGAGUGAAUUUGACUUGAUGGGGUUUGGGUUCUAGGAAAGUGUGACUCAUACACCCCUGUCCCCUAAUCUGAGCCAGUUAAGAAGUAGACUCAGGCUGGGCACAGUCUCAUGCCUGUAAUCAUAGCACUUUGGGAGGCUGAGCUGGGUGGAUCACUUGAAUUCAGGAGUUGAAGACCACCCUGUACAACAUGGUGAAACCCGUCCCUAUUAAAAAUACAAAAAAUUAGCCGGGCGUGGUGGUAGGCACCUGUAAUCCCAGCUACUGGGGAGACUGAGGCAGGAGAAUCGCUUGAACCCGGGAGGCGGAGGUUGCAGUGAGCCGAGAUCAUGCCACUGCACUCCAGCCUGGGCGACAAGAGCAAAACUCCGUCUCCAAAAAAAAAAGUAGACUCAGAGCCAGGUGGGAAUUAAUCUACUUUAAUGCAGAUAAGGUGAAUUAGCAACCAUAGCAUGGCAUCCAAGCCCCAAAUGGAGCUUCCUGUAACCUGCUCCAGGAAUUGAGUUCAUCCAGAGAACUACUCUCCCUAGGCAGGGGCAGUGGCAAGGGCAGAGCUUAGGCUGCUCAGGUGAGCUCUCACCUCUUUGGCAGCAUUAAGCGUAUAUUAAGAGAAGCCUCAGAUGUAGAAUACAGAGAAGAGAACCUGCCUGCUAACCAAGCAGGUGGAGACAACCAAAUAAAAACUAAAACUUGGCUGGGCGCAGUGGCUCAUGCCUGUAAUCCCAGCACUUUGGGAGGCCGAGGUAGGUGGGUCGCCUGACCAGGAGUUUGAGCCCAGCCUGAGCAACAUGGCGAAACC
rnacentral:sRNA from 1 species